rnacentral:tRNA from 1 species
GCCUGGGUGGCUCAGUGGUUGAGCGUCUGACUUCGAUUUAGGUCGUGAUCCUGGGGUCCUGGGAUCGAGUCCCACAUCGGGCU